rnacentral:lncRNA from 1 species
CCCAUUUCUGCCCAUUUUCCACCCAUUUUUCCCCCAUUUCCCCCAAUUUCACCCCAAUAUUCCCCUCUGCUGUCCAUUCUGACCCCCAUUUCCCCUCAAUUCUGCCCCAUUUCCACCCCAAUAUCUCCCCCCCCGCCCUCUCCCCUUCGCUCCCUUCUCCCACAGUAUCCCCCUAUGGGAGCCAUCCCCAUUUAGGGUCCAAAAGGUGGGAUUUUGGGGUCCAAAAAGUGGCAUUUUGGGUCAUUUUGGGUCGAAAAAGUGGCAUUUUGGGUCCUGGCAGAGCACAUACAGCACCUGAAGGCGGAGGGCUGCGGCUGCAGCGCCCCCUACAGGCGCGGAGGUCCCCAUUCUGCCCCAUUCUGCCCCCAUUUGCCCCCAUUUCUGCCCCAUUUCCCCCCCAUUUCUGCCCAUUUUUCACCCAUUUUUCCCCCAUUUCCCCCAAUUUCACCCCAAUAUUCCCCUCUGCUGUCCAUUCUGACCCCCAUUUCCCCCCACUUUUGCCCCAUUUCCCCCCAAUUUUGCCCCAUUUCCCUCCACUUCUACCCCACUCGCUCCCCCACUGUAUCUCCCUAUAGGACCCAUCCCCAUUUUGGGUCCAAAAGGUGGGAUUUUGGGGUCCAAAA